rnacentral:tRNA from 1 species
GAUUCGUUAGCUCAGUCGGCAGAGCAACUGCCUUUUAAGCAGUGGGUCCGGGGUUCGAAUCCCCGACGGGUCACCA